GACAGAGGCCUCAAGCGUUAGGCGGAAUCACUGGGCUUAAAGCGUGUGUAGGCGGACUUCUAAGUGCCUUGUGAAAUCCCACGGCUCAACCGUGGAACUGCUGGGCAUACUGGGAGUCUUGGGCCAUUCAGGGGCGACUGGAACAAGCGGUGGAGCGGUGAAAUGCGUAGAUAUCGCUUGGAACGCCGAAGGUGAAAACAGGUUGCUGGGGAUGUGCCGACGCUGAGACACGAAAGCCAGGGGAGCAAACGGG
rnacentral:rRNA from 1 species